rnacentral:rRNA from 1 species
UACGGAGGGUGCAAGCGUUAUCCGGAUUCACUGGGUUUAAAGGGUGCGUAGGUGGGCAGGUAAGUCAGUGGUGAAAUCUCCGGGCUUAACCCGGAAACUGCCAUUGAUACUAUCUGUCUUGAAUACCGUGGAGGUGAGCGGAAUAUGUCAUGUAGCGGUGAAAUGCUUAGAUAUGACAUAGAACACCAAUUGCGAAGGCAGCUCACUACACGAAUAUUGACACUGAGGAGCGAAAGCCAGGGGAGCAAACGGG